rnacentral:rRNA from 1 species
UAGAGAAUCUUCCACAAUGGACGCAAGUCUGAUGGAGCAACGCCGCGUGAGUGAAGAAGGGUUUCGGCUCGUAAAGCUCUGUUGUUAAAGAAGAACGUGGGUAAGAGUAACUGUUUACCCAGUGACGGUAUUUAACCAGAAAGCCACGGCUAACUACGUGCCAG